UGCCGCGUGUGUGAAGAGGUUCUUCGGAUUGUAAGCACUUUCGACGGGGACGAUGAUGACGGUACCCGUAGAAGAAGCCCCGGCUAACUUCGUGC
rnacentral:rRNA from 1 species